CACUCCCCUCUCCCUUCCUCUACUGCCUCUCUCACGCAGCGACGCUCUUCUUUCUCGCCUUCCUCUCUCUCUCUCUCUCGCUCUCUCCGCUCUCUCUCUCUCUUUCUCUCCGCUCUAAACCCUAACUUAGUUUCCUUGGAGAUCGAGGAGGAGGAGAGGUUGAAGUGGGAAACCCUAGGGAAGAGAGGGAGAGAUCGAGGCGGCUGCCAAUGGCGGACAACCGGCCGCCGCAGCGGCGGGCCCGGCCCGGGCCUUGGCCUCCGGCUGCAGAAGCGGGGACGGCCGCGGGGGCUCCUGCUCCGGCUCCGGCGCCGCUAUCCUGGGCGAAGAGGACCGGGUUCAAGGGAAGGGUCUCCGGGGAAUCCAACGCGAGUAACUCCGGCCAGAUUGCGCUACCGAAGCCCAAAGAGCCGGGAUCGGACCUGGAUCUGGAGGCGGGGCGUAGGCGCCACGCAGCCAGUGCCCUUCCGUCGCCUCCUGUCGCGGCCGCCGCUGCCAAUGGGGAGCCUGACAACAUGGCCGGAGGAGGAGUAGGAGGAGGUGGAGCAGCCCCGUUGCCGGCUGAUCAGACGGCGAGGAGCAGGAGGGAUUCCGAUGGUGGAAACAAAAAUGCAGGUUUGGGGCCCAAUGGACAGGCAGUACGGUCUGACCAGCCAUUGAGGCAACGAAGGGAGCAGGAGACAGCCACGCUGCCUCAGCUAGAGGAGGAAGAGGGGGGCUUUUCGUUGAGACGGGUUCAUAUCAAGUAUGAGCUGAGGGAUAGUCCCGGUCUCGUGCCCAUAUUCUUUUAUGGUAUUCAACAGUAUCUGUCAAUAAUGGGUUCCUUGAUUCUUAUACCACUGGUUAUAGUUCCAGCAAUGGGUGGCACUCAUGAAGAUAUUUCAGCUGUGGUGUCGACUGUGUUCUUCAUCUCAGGUGUGACAACAUUGUUGCACACAUUCUUUGGAACCAGGCUACCACUAAUACAGGGUCCUUCUUUUGUGUAUCUGGCUCCAGCCUUAGCAAUAAUAAACUCACCAGACUUUCAAGGUCUUAAUGAGAAUAAUUUUAAGCAUAUUAUGAAGGAGCUACAGGGAGCUUUAAUAAUAUCUUCUGCAUUUCAAGCUAUAAUGGGGUAUACUGGAAUGAUGUCAUUGCUUUUAAGGUUGAUCAAUCCAGUCGUUGUAUCUCCCACCAUUGCAGCAGUUGGACUUUCUUUUUUUAGUUAUGGCUUUACUCAAGUAGGAAAUUGCCUGGAAAUUGGUAUGGUGCAGAUAUUGCUGGUUGUCGUUUUUUCACUUUAUCUUAGGAAGAUACGCAUAUUUGGUCAUCGAAUAUUUUUAAUUUAUGCGGUUCCCUUGGGUCUGGGAAUCACAUGGGCCAUUGCAUUUCUUCUCACAGCAUCUGGUGUAUAUAGCUACGGAGGUUGUGAUAUUCAUAUUCCUGCAUCAAAUACUCUAUCAGAAUACUGCAGAAAGCAUGUGCCAAGGAUGAAACACUGUCGUGUUGAUACUUCUCAUGCCUUAAGAUCUUCACCAUGGUUUCGACUUCCUUAUCCAUUGCAAUGGGGCACUCCUGUUUUCAAUUGGAAAAUGGCCAUUGUAAUGUGUGUAAUAUCCAUUAUUGCAACUGUUGACUCGGUCGGCACAUACCACGCAUCAUCUUUGUUGGUAGCAUCAAGACCUCCAACAGCGGGAGUUCUCAGCAGGGGUAUUGGUAUGGAAGGCAUUUCUAGCAUUUUCGCUGGUCUUUGGGGUACAGGAGUUGGUUCGACAACUCUUACAGAAAAUGUUCACACUAUUGCUGUCACUAAAAUGGGCAGUCGCAGAGCAGUUGAACUGGGUGCUGUAAUGUUAAUACUUUUAUCUUUUGUUGGUAAAGUCGGAGGCUUUAUUGCUUCUAUCCCUGAUGUCAUGGUUGCUGGUCUUCUUUGCUUUAUGUGGGCCAUGCUUGCUGCUUUGGGCUUGUCAAACCUACGUUACAGUGAGACAGGAAGCUCCAGAAAUAAUAUCAUAGUUGGACUCUCUUUGUUUUUUUCCUUAUCUGUGCCUGCUUACUUCCAGCAAUAUGGCCUUGUUCCGAAUGCAAAUUCAUCUGUGCCAAGUUACUUCCAACCAUAUAUCGUGGCAUCACAUGGGCCUUUUCAUACCGGAUAUAAAGGGAUAAAUUUUGUCUUAAACACGCUGUUCUCAUUCAACAUGGUGAUAGCAUUUCUUGUUGCUGUGGUUCUCGAUAAUACUGUUCCUGGUAGUCGGCAAGAACGAGGGGUGUAUGUUUGGUCUGAACUAGAGGCAGCAAGGAGGGAACCAGCUGUCACGAGAGACUAUGAGCUGCCUUUCAAAGUUGGUAAAAUAUUCAGAUGGGUGAAAUGGGUUGGCCUAUAAAUGUGUCAUCUAAUAGGAGCAGCCUAUCCAGGAGACACCAUGACCAGAUAUUUUAUUCAUGCAAGCCAAGCACAGGAGGUCAUCUCACAAUUUGUACUGUUUCUCCAAUCUGACAUGAAUGUCUGAUGAGUUGCCUGUUCGAGGACCAAGAUGAGUAAGCACAGGAGGUCAUCUCACAAUUUGCACUUCCAAGAUACCAAUUUCUUGUAAUUUAUAUAGCAGAUUUUAAAUUAAACAGCACGUGUUCCGUGGAUUUUUGUGAUCCAUGAGAAAGGAUAACUGCACAUUAGAGGGCAACUGGGAUACAGGAGAAUGUUGAAGAAUAUAGGUAUCAUUGCUCAACAUCACAGCAGUCAUGGCGGAUGAAAGGCUCCUAGUGGGGCAGGUCUUUUUUUGUCAGUUUCAAUGUAGAAGUUAUGCAGGAAAAUGUUGCACACAUUAUAUCAACGCAACUGUCUGAUGGCAGAUUGUUUAUAAAGAGUGUAAAGCAAUGUCAUUUUGCUUGAGUUAAGUUUUUA